rnacentral:lncRNA from 1 species
CAAAAACUGAUUAAGUAAUAUCCCCAGCCUGGGAGGAGCUCUAACAUUACAAUUAUAAACAAUAUUCCUAAGUAGCUUGUCACUGGUACAAUAUGUAUUUUCGAAUAUUCUCGCAUUCCUUUCCAGCCAAACAACAUAAAACAUCUCCGUAAUUGUCAUUUUGAAUAUGUGAGCUCGAGGGGAUUUGCCUUUAGAUUUCUCAAUGAGCCACUGAACAAACUGAAGCCAGUUUUGUCCAGUGGGUUGCUUAAUUCCAAUCCAGUGCAACAUGUGAGUUCUCAGUUCAGUUGCAUAAGAGCAAUGCAGGAAUAAGUGUUCCCUAGUUUCCACAGCUUGUUGGCACAUGACACAAGUGUCUGUUACAUCCAGAUUCCAUUUGAUCAACCUUGUUUUGGUGGGCAGUCUAUCUUGCAGGAGC